rnacentral:rRNA from 1 species
GGGUUGUGAGGUUAAGCGACUAAGCGUACACGGUGGAUGCCCUGGCAGUCAGAGGCGAUGAAGGACGUGCUAAUCUGCGAAAAGCGUCGGUAAGGUGAUAUGAACCGUUAUAACCGGCGAUGUCCGAAUGGGGAAACCCAGUGCAAUUCGUUGCACUAUCGUUAACUGAAUACAUAGGUUAACGAGGCGAACCGGGGGAACUGAAACAUCUAAGUACCCCGAGGAAAAGAAAUCAACCGAGAUUCCCCCAGUAGCGGCGAGCGAACGGGGAGCAGCCCAGAGUCUGAAUCAGCUUGUGUGUUAGUGGAACGGUCUGGAAAGUCCGACGGUACAGGGUGAUAGUCCCGUACACCAAAAUGCACAGGUUGUGAACUCGAAGAGUAGGGCGGGACACGUGGUAUCCUGUCUGAAUAUGGGGGGACCAUCCUCCAAGGCUAAAUACUCCUGACUGACCGAUAGUGAACCAGUACCGUGAGGGAAAGGCGAAAAGAACCCCGGCGAGGGGAGUGAAAAAGAACCUGAAACCGUGUACGUACAAGCAGUGGGAGCACCUUCGGGUGUGACUGCGUACCUUUUGUAUAAUGGGUCAGCGACUUAUAUUCUGUAGCAAGGUUAACCGUAUAGGGGAGCCGCAGGGAAACCGAGUCUUAACUGGGCGUUAAGUUGCAGGGUAUAGACCCGAAACCCGGUGAUCUAGCCAUGGGCAGGUUGAAGGUUGGGUAACACUAACUGGAGGACCGAACCGACUAAUGUUGAAAAAUUAGCGGAUGACUUGUGGCUGGGGGUGAAAGGCCAAUCAAACCGGGAGAUAGCUGGUUCUCCCCGAAAGCUAUUUAGGUAGCGCCUCGUGAAUUCAUCUUCGGGGGUAGAGCACUGUUUCGGCUAGGGGGUCAUCCCGACUUACCAACCCGAUGCAAACUACGAAUACCGAAGAAUGUUAUCACGGGAGACACACGGCGGGUGCUAACGUCCGUCGUGAAGAGGGAAACAACCCAGACCGCCAGCUAAGGUCCCAAAGUCAUGGUUAAGUGGGAAACGAUGUGGGAAGGCACAGACAGCCAGGAUGUUGGCUUAGAAGCAGCCAUCAUUUAAAGAAAGCGUAAUAGCUCACUGGUCGAGUCGGCCUGCGCGGAAGAUGUAACGGGGCUAAACCAUGCACCGAAGCUGCGGCAGCGACACUAUGUGUUGUUGGGUAGGGGAGCGUUCUGUAAGCCUGCGAAGGUGUGCUGUGAGGCAUGCUGGAGGUAUCAGAAGUGCGAAUGCUGACAUAAGUAACGAUAAAGCGGGUGAAAAGCCCGCUCGCCGGAAGACCAAGGGUUCCUGUCCAACGUUAAUCGGGGCAGGGUGAGUCGACCCCUAAGGCGAGGCCGAAAGGCGUAGUCGAUGGGAAACAGGUUAAUAUUCCUGUACUUGGUGUUACUGCGAAGGGGGGACGGAGAAGGCUAUGUUAGCCGGGCGACGGUUGUCCCGGUUUAAGCAUGUAGGCUGGUUAUCCAGGCAAAUCCGGAUAAUCAAGGCUGAGGUGUGAUGACGAGGCACUACGGUGCUGAAGUAACAAAUGCCCUGCUUCCAGGAAAAGCCUCUAAGCAUCAGGUAACAUCAAAUCGUACCCCAAACCGACACAGGUGGUCAGGUAGAGAAUACCAAGGCGCUUGAGAGAACUCGGGUGAAGGAACUAGGCAAAAUGGUGCCGUAACUUCGGGAGAAGGCACGCUGGUGUGUAGGUGAAGUCCCUGCGGAUGGAGCUGAGACCAGUCGAAGAUACCAGCUGGCUGCAACUGUUUAUUAAAAACACAGCACUGUGCAAACACGAAAGUGGACGUAUACGGUGUGACGCCUGCCCGGUGCCGGAAGGUUAAUUGAUGGGGUUAUCCGUAAGGAGAAGCUCUUGAUCGAAGCCCCGGUAAACGGCGGCCGUAACUAUAACGGUCCUAAGGUAGCGAAAUUCCUUGUCGGGUAAGUUCCGACCUGCACGAAUGGCGUAAUGAUGGCCAGGCUGUCUCCACCCGAGACUCAGUGAAAUUGAACUCGCUGUGAAGAUGCAGUGUACCCGCGGCAAGACGGAAAGACCCCGUGAACCUUUACUAUAGCUUGACACUGAACAUUGAGCCUUGAUGUGUAGGAUAGGUGGGAGGCUUUGAAGCGUGGACGCCAGUCUGCGUGGAGCCGACCUUGAAAUACCACCCUUUAAUGUUUGAUGUUCUAACGUUGGCCCCUUACCGGGGUUGCGGACAGUGUCUGGUGGGUAGUUUGACUGGGGCGGUCUCCUCCCAAAGCGUAACGGAGGAGCACGAAGGUUAGCUAAUCCUGGUCGGACAUCAGGAGGUUAGUGCAAUGGCAUAAGCUAGCUUGACUGCGAGCGUGACGGCGCGAGCAGGUGCGAAAGCAGGUCAUAGUGAUCCGGUGGUUCUGAAUGGAAGGGCCAUCGCUCAACGGAUAAAAGGUACUCCGGGGAUAACAGGCUGAUACCGCCCAAGAGUUCAUAUCGACGGCGGUGUUUGGCACCUCGAUGUCGGCUCAUCACAUCCUGGGGCUGAAGUAGGUCCCAAGGGUAUGGCUGUUCGCCAUUUAAAGUGGUACGCGAGCUGGGUUUAGAACGUCGUGAGACAGUUCGGUCCCUAUCUGCCGUGGGCGCUGGAGAAUUGAGGGGGGCUGCUCCUAGUACGAGAGGACCGGAGUGGACGCAUCACUGGUGUUCGGGUUGUCAUGCCAAUGGCACUGCCCGGUAGCUAAAUGCGGAAGAGAUAAGUGCUGAAAGCAUCUAAGCACGAAACUUGCCCCGAGAUGAGUUCUCCCUGAGACUUUAAGUCUCCUGAAGGAACGUUGAAGACGACGACGUUGAUAGGCCGGGUGUGUAAGCGCAGCGAUGCGUUGAGCUAACCGGUACUAAUGAACCGUGAGGCUUAACCUUACAACGCCGAAG